rnacentral:rRNA from 1 species
CCUACGGGUGGCAGCAGUGAGGAAUAUUGGUCAAUGGACGUGAGUCUGAACCAGCCAAGUAGCGUGAAGGAUGACUGCCCUAUGGGUUGUAAACUUCUUUUAUAUGGGGAUAAAACGUUCCACGUGUGGGAUUUUGUAUGUACCAUAUGAAUAAGGAUCGGCUAAUUCCGUGCCAGCAGCCGCGGUAAUACGGAGGAUCCGAGCGUUAUCCGGAUUUAUUGGGUUUAAAGGGAGCGUAGGUGGAUUGUUAAGUGUGUUGUGAAAGUUUGCGGCUCAACCGUAAAACUGCAGUUGAAACUGGCAGUCUGGAGUACAGUAGAGGUAGGCGGAAUUCGUGGUGGAGCGGUGAAAUGCUUAGAUAUCACGAAGAACUCCGAUUGCGAAGGCAGUUCACGGGACUGCUACUGACACUGAGGCUCGAAAGUGUGGGUAUCGAACAGGAUUAGAUACCCUAGUAGUC